UCGCUUCAAAUCUCACACUCCAGCAAAUCGCUCCAAAUCCCCAAUUCGACUCCAGCAAAUCGGUCUUCCCUUCACCAAAUCACCACUCCAGCAAAUCAACAAAUCAAUUAAGUGUGAAAUUGCACCAAAUCUCAAACCCUCGUCGCCGCCUCAGCCUUGUACGACCGCCGCUCCAGCCCCCUCCGGCCGCCGCCGCUCUCCCCGCCCCAUCUCCUUCGAUCGACAGCCCGCCGCCCUCACCUAGCCUUUCGUCGCCGCCCCAGCCUUCUACGGCCGCCGCUCCAGCCCCCUCCGGCCGCCGCCGCUCUCCCCGCCCCAUCUCCUUCGAUCGACAGCCCGCCGCCCUCACCUAGCCUUUCGUCGCCGCCCCAGCCUUCUACGGCCGCCGCUCCAGCCCCCUCCGGCCGCCGCCGCUCUCCCCGCCCCGUCUCCUUCGAUCGACAGCCCACCGCCCUCACCUAGCCUUUCCCGGACGACUCCGCAGCAGCAGCAGCAGUUUCCAACGCCCAAGUUCCCAUCGAAAGGAGGAAGCUUCAGCGAUCAAGUCGGCUAGCAAAUCAUGGUACAAGACCAUGAUCUCGGAUAGUGACUACACAGAAUUUGAGAACUUCACAAAGUGGUUGGGUGUGUCUCAGUGAUUCAAAUCUUGAUUUAACUUAGUUAUAGUCUUUAUAUUAAUCUUGAACUCUUUUACUGUUUUUUGCCAUAUACUUGUAUUCUGUAUAUAUCUCAACUUCAUGCUUAUGUUGUUAGGUCAUAGUUUUCUUAUAACCUGUAGAUGGAUGUCUAAUCUUUUGCUUUAAGAAGAUUUUCCUUUCCCAUGAAGAUUACAUGCUUUCAUUUUGAUUAUUUCUUGAACCCAGAGGAAGAUUAACUGAAGUUACUAAGAGAAAACUUGUUGGAAACAAUGAAACCAAAACAUAGAUUUUUUCAAGUUAUUGUAUGUUUGUGAGUGAUCUGCCAGUCCAACCAACCACCACCCAUUUGUAUAUAGAUUUAAGAGCUUUAUAUUCUGAUGAAGAUGAUAGCAGGAUCUCAAUGUAGCUGUAGUAGGAUUGUGAAGGGAUGAUUCGAGAUGUUGUUCUGGAAAUUCUAGUUCUGCAUCUUGCUUUAAUUAUUUAAGUAAUAGGAUUGCAGUCUCAUUAUGCUGCUAAAUGCUGAUUAUUUCUGUACAAUAUGGUCCUCUUUUAGGAAUAAGAAUACUGCAGGAUGUUCUGAUUUUCUAGACCUGAUGUUGCAUCUAUAUUGUUCUUAUGAUAGAGCUUCAACACUUAAGGAACAGUCUCCCAGCAAAUUUUUAGUUUCUUUACAUGGCACAUAGUAUAAGCAUAGUAUAAGCAUAGAAAAAACAAUCGACAUCAGAGAACCGCGAUACUGAGAUAAAGAAGGAAUCUGGGUUUAGAGAUUCAUCUUACCUGCCUUGCGAAGACCAUGAGCGAGCUGAUGAGGAUGUGGAUAUUGGUGGAAAUGAUCCGCCUCCAAUUUCCAGUUCACCUCCAAUUUGGAUUGAUAAGGAUGAUGCUGAAAGGAAUAGUAACUGCAGUGGUUCAAGAAGCUCCAGUAGUGAAUCAGGCACCUCAUCUACUGCUGUCGAUAUUAGGCAUGGGAUGGAAAAGAUGCAGCAAGCUUUUGAGAUCUAUCCAUACUGUGCUAGGGUGACUAUGAAAAGGCAGGCAUGUAUUAUAUGGCCUCUGUUAAGGAAAGCAAUAGUGCACGUGAAUUUGUAUUACCUUACUAUGGUUUGGGGCAGGUGCAACUCAAAUUAGGAGAUCUAAGAAGUUCUUUGACAAAUUUUGAGAAGGUCUUGGAGGUUCUACCAGAGAACUGUGAUGCAUUGAAAGCCCUUGGACACAUUCAUGUUCAGCUUGAGCAGACCGAGAAGGCCCAAGAACUAUACAGGAAAGCCACAAAAAUUGAUCCCCGUGAUCCUCAGGUGACCAUGUUGUUUUAUAUAUUCUUUUAUAAAUGGUUUGUACACCACCUGAAGAUUAUUGUCAUUUGUCUAUAUAAGUAUGACUUUGAAUUGAUGCAACUGCUUCUUUAAGUCCCUUGGACUAAGUACUUGGCAUCCUUGCUAGUACUAAUCUUGUCAGGAGCUUGGUCAGCAAGUCUCCAACUGGUAUUUGAAAGACUUCAAUUACCAGAGUGGAUUAAACUAAGUGAAAAUAAUAGUGUAAAUUAACAUAAGUAAAUGGUUUUGCUUCAAAUGAGAUGUUCUUGUUUGGGCAGUUUGUGGCUUUUUAUGUAAGUCCAUAUAUAAUAUUAAUGUCUUACUAAGUGAUGAUAUUUAGUUGUUUGGGCAGAUGGUGAUUUACCUAUUACUAUGGACACGUUAUGAUGAGAUUAUUUGUUAACUUGUAAUGAAAAUCACAGCUCUAUUAUUUUCUCGACUUGUGUUAUGUUUGAGAUGUGCAGGAUAGGAAGCUUGGGAUCAAUUCAAUGAAUUGGGAUGGAAGUUUGGAUGGAUGAAUGGAAUGUUGUUGACUGAAAGCCGCUUCAGAGUACUUAUUUUUUGUUGAAAAUUGUAAAUUGACUGUUUUAGCUACUUAGAUACAUUACUUGGUUGGUUAAUAUUUAACAGUUUGAUUAUGGAUGGAUGGAGUUAUUUGGAUUAUUAAAUAUUUAUAUAAUAUAUGUUUUGGUUGUAGCA